AGCUAGAUCAGAAUGGGAUGAGACAUUGGAGGACUUAAAGCAAGCCCCAUGUACAGACGUUCGACAAACAUUGAUGAUAAGUAUCAACAAAUUGGAUGAUAUAGAAAAAGCCAUAUUUCUAGACAUAGCAUGUUUUUGCAUCGGGGAGAAAAAGACUUAUGCAGACUACAUGUGGCGUAAUAGUGGCUAUUCUUCACACAGCGUGAUUGAUGUUCUUCUGCUCAUGUCAUUGAUAAAGAUCGAUGAGGACAAUAGAUUUUGGAUGCAUGAUGAAGUUCGAGAUCUAGGAAGAUACAUUGUCAAAAAAGACAAUGUUGAAGAUGCUGGAAAGCGCAUUUGGGUGUCGAUUGAUGAGAAUACUUUAGACAUACUGAGAAGCAAUGAGGAAAAACAAGUUGUACGAGCACUCAGUAUAGGUAUUAGUCAUGACUUAACACCUGGAGAAUUAUCCCGUCUGCCACAGCUGAGGUUCCUUGGAGGGCGGAGAAUGAAUUUUGUAGGCAACUUCAAUAAUCUUCUUCGUAAUCUGAGAUGGCUGUCUUGGCAUCAUUGCCCAUUCAAUCUUUCAGCCGUGAAUCUUCACCUGGUGAAUUUGGUCGUGCUUGACCUUUCGAGAAGCAACAUCACCCACAAUUGGGGUGGAUGGAGGCAAAUCAAGAAGGCGAAAAAGUUGAAAGUUCUAGAUUUAACGGGAUGCAAGAGGUUAACCAAGACACCCAAUUUUUCCAAGUUUGGCAAGUUGGAGAAAUUGAUUCUCGCUUGGUGUGUGAGAUUGGCUACAAUUGACAAGUCAAUCAAUAAGCUAAGACAACUAAGGACUUUAGAUAUCAAGGGGUGCCAUUCCCUUCAAGGGUUGCCCAAGGAAAUCGAUUCUCUAGAAUGCUUGUCGGAGAUUAUCGUGCCCCAAACUACCGAGUCAUCCUUAUCCGAAUUGUUCAAGCUUCCUGAGACACUGGGCAAUCUAAAAUCUUUGAUGAGGUUUCAAACUUUGAGUAACUAUAGUAUCCACCAACUUCCUUACUCUAUUGGAAAGUUAACAAAUCUUACGUGUUUGUGGUUGACUGAUUGCUAUAAUCUAAUAGAGCUUCCAGACUCUAUUGGAGAAUUAGAAUCAUUGGUUGAGUUAAAUAUAAGGAAUUCAAACAUCAGUGUUCUCCCUGAUUCCAUUGGAAAUCUAAAGAGACUAAAAGUCUUAAACGUGGCAUCCACAGAGAUACACACGAUACCUUGUGUGCUCGGAAGGGUGGAGACACUCGAAGAGCUCAAUGCCUCGUAUUGUUGGCGCCUCAAGGAUGAAAUUCCAUGGGAAAUGUGGAGCCUAAACCGUCUGAGGAUCCUGGACUUAAAUGGGAGCCCAAUCUCUACUGUGCCGAGAAAGAUCGGUGAUUUCUUCUGUCUCCAAACGCUGACAAUCUCAGGUCGCCGGCUUCUCCCGUUGCCAAAGCUUCCCUUGAGCUUGAAAUGUCUAGUGGUUGAAGCUGCUGAUAUCCCUGUUCUUCCUGACCUCUCGAGCCUGGUUCAUUUAGAUCAUCUCGAAGUGAGCAAAGAUUUUAUACGUAUUGACUACGGGAGUGAAAAAGAAGUGUUUUUCUCUGAAGCGAACAAGAUUAUCUCGCUUUGGAAGGACGCGCAGUCCAUCCAUCGGCUUCCACGUGGCUUAUCAACCUUGAAACUUAGCUGCAUCCCGCAAUUGCCUGAUUUUUUUGGCUUCAAAAGCUUGUCAGUUCUCCAAAUCAGUAACUAUCCGAUGCCACACUUGCCCAUACUUAAAUACUUGGAGGGCUUAAGGGAAUUGAAGAUAUCUUGGUGCGAAUUCAUCGACAGCACACCCGAUCUAUCAUGCUUGAAGAGGCUACAAACAUUAUAUCUCCAUCGUUUAACCAAACUGGCAGAGAUUCCAGGUUUGGGGAAGUGGAAUCUCUGAAGUCUCUAAAAAUUAGUUUUUGUUAUGCAAUUGAAAAAUUGCCUAACCUGUCGAAGUUGAAAAAUCUACAGCGUCUCUCUAUUUGGUCUUGUCAAAAGUUAAGAGCCGUCGAAGGCUUGAAAGAGUUGAAUAUUUUGAAGAAGGCAGAAAUUGUUUUUUGCACAUCUAUGGAUAGUUUGCCUGAAUUGUCAGCAUGCACCAAGUUAGAAAAAUGUUGAAUGCCGCCAAAAGCUGGGGAAAACAUCAUUCAGUCCACCGUGCCUGCACUCCUCCCCGAUUGUCCUUCGAUCCAAAGGGCGCCUCGGUAGCCGUGUCGAAAUUCUUGGGCGUGUUUUGAUUAGUCAAAGCAUAACAGAAGUUCUCUUUUCUGCUUGUGUUUGCUAACUUGUAGAGCUGGCUUGGAUAAAGGACAAAGAAGGUGUUGGCGUGAGUAUUCAGAGUUUCCAUGCCCUGCAUGUGGAUUAGACCCAAUUCUGCGGCCUGGCACGUGGAACAAAGCCACAUUUGCAACGCGCAUUCACCACCGACAUGAAAUGAUCCAAUGGCCUCAUUUUUUCAUAAUGGAAUUGUCUCGACAAGCGAUUGUUGGAUGAGAUGACCUUGAGGAUCAAUAAACCACAAGAGUAUCGAAAAAGGUCACUUUAGAGCGAAAACUCAAUUUUUCAUCGAUAAGGACGUACAAGUGCGGAAAAAUGGAAACGGGCCAUGGGGGGACCCAAUGGGCCCAUGCCCAAGUGGGUGGCCCAAGGCCCACACGCCCAAGGGGUGGGCGGCCAAGGGAGGCCCAUGGGCCCUUCAAGUCCAUCAAGCCCUCUUUUGACAAGAUCUUGACAUUAGAUGCAUGCAAGGACGUAAAUAAUGCAUGAAUAGUGCGAGAUCUUUGUGAAAUGAUCGAAAUCCCCUUACAUUGGACUAAGGACAAAAGGGCAAAGAUGGAAAUUGACAAGUGAAGGGGGCGGCACUUGAAUUUGGGCGGCAAAGAGGAUUGGGAAGAGGGUAUCUAGCCUACCUAGCCUAAUCUAGCUCUAACCUAGUCAUUCGAGUGUAAUCUAUAUCUCAUUUAAUGCAAGGAUUUUGCUUCUGCCAUAAGCCAUCUUGAUUGACAUGAGCUCAAGGGAUUUGAUGGGCAUUAAUUGGGACUUGACAUCACACUCU